UCCCAUAUGCAAACAUGCGCACACGCACUCAUACACACACACACACACACACACACACACACACACACACACACUCUCUCACAGACACACACACACACACACACACACACACACACACACACACAGGAGUGUGUGAUUAGUCUGUGGCAGGUCACAAAUGACAACAGAGACAAUGGUGAGGCCGACGUGAACAAAGAAGGAGGUUAUUCUGCGUCUCCAUUACAGGCCGUAUAAAAGCUGGCAAUGUAUGGGCCUAUUCAAUAAUGACCGGGGUUUAUCAGAUAGAGGAUAUGACCUUAACGUUUCUGACACAGCAAGUAAGACAGCAAAACAUACAGGAACAGAAAUAACACUACAAUGACUCAUGGCUCCUGAAGGGUUUAAAGAAAUAGCAGUAGGCUGUGUUAUUAUAGCAUUUAAAGCUAAACCAAAAAUAAAGAUAUGUUUUCUAACUUACAGUAUAUAUAUAAAUUACAGUAUACUAUUUAUACAUAGGCUUAGAUAUAUUCAUAUUGCAAAGAUGCUAUCUUGCAGAAAUGCAGGAUUCUUUCAUCCUUGUUAAAUAUAAGCUAUAUUUAAAAAUAUUUAGAAAUCCGGGAUUCUUUGUUGUUGUUCUUUGUUACGUGAGUGGGUUCCUCUCCGUCGACUGAGGAAAUGCAACUCUAUUCUUAAAAAAUAAUUAGGCUAGCUCUAUGAAUUUUUUACUUGAAUUUUUUUAACUGCAUCUUUUUUUGAGGUCCCUAAGGAUGUCAUCUUUUGAUGAUCUUUUGAUGAGUGGUGGGCAACAGCAGGAGAGCGCAUCAGACAGGAUGACAAUUAGGCCGUUGAGAAUUAUAGAAGAAGCCAUGGACCACUGCAUUUGUAAAACACAGCACAGAUCUCAAACCGCAGUUGGAUGUAAUGAUUGCUCAGGAAUUACAACCAUUACAAAUGUGAAAAAGAAAAACCACACUGCUUGUUUCUGCAGAGCCUGUGUGACACGUCAGCUGAGUCAGCCUUCCGCUCUUAUUUGUGUGUGGAACUGCAGCCUUACCCUGGGAGACUGUCAGCGCAGCGUAGCUGGGAUAGCGCUGCCUAAAGCCUGUUUCAUCACAUCAGUGGAAUGAUGCGAGCAGUGAGCUUAAGGGCUCUUUAAUGAUCCCUACACAGAUGGACUGGGCUCAGCCAGCCUAAGAACACAAUCAUUUUCUCUUUUUAAUCUACCCAGCAAGACUUCUGCAGUUGCUGAGGGUGCUUGUGUGUGUGUGUGUGUGUGUGUGUGUGUGUGUGUGUGUGUGUGUGUGUGUGUGUGUGUGUGUGUGUGUGUGUGUGUGUGUGUGUGUCUGUGUGUGCGUGUGUGUGUGUGCUUGCAUGUGCACGUGCAAACACACGGGGGAGAGGCUAUGUCACUAAAAAAUUCAGCCACAAUAGAGAAAGAAUCCCCAGUUGUAUCCUGCUCAGAUUUCCUUUUUUUAUAACCUGUCUUCUUUUUUUUUUUACGCAGUCACACAACGGAAUCUGUCUCUUUUUACACCUCGACAGGUUCUCGCUAAUGACCUGAGUUCUCUCUCCUCUCUGAGCUCACAGUCCAAGGGGGAAUAAUGACUAUAGUCUAAGGAUUGAUCACCCACAUCUCAAGGCUAUAAUUCCUCCACUGCAACGAAUGUGAAUACCCACUAACAGAAUCAAUUUAAGGUGAGCGGAGGACCCACCACACACCACAGGCAGCCAAUGUGCAGAUAGAGGCAAAGCCAGUUGGACCACGUUCUUUGCAAUAAUGGCAAAAUCUAAAACUGACUGUGGACAGUCAGUUUCUGUUUGUGUUGUGCUCUUUUGAAUUCCCCCUCAUGAAAAGACGGGAAAGAAAUGCGGCCAACCGAAGUUCCACUGUGAACUAAACCUGGGAUCGGUAAUGAAUUGUUAAAAAAUGCUCCUCUUGAACUCCUCGAAUCAGUCUUUGAGGACGACACACUGCAGGGGCUCAAAAUUUACAUUCACAUUAAGUCAUUUAGCAGACGCUUUUGUCCAAAGAGACAUACAAGGGAGAGAACAGUCAAGCUACGAGCAAUAGAGACAUAGUGUAACAAUAAAUACUAUUUUACAUAGGAAAUAGAAAAAAAGUGCAGGAAUGUAACUGCUAUAAGUGCAAGUUAAGUACUAAUAGAAGUGCUAGUUAGGAAGGGAGCAAAAAACAGCUGAGGGUACAUGUUUAGAAGAUUCUGGAAAGACUGAAGAAACCUAAACAAACCCAAUUAAACUGUGACAACCUAUGCAGCAACACACUGCUCAUUUAUCGGUUUGUUUAUCCAUAGAAAAAAAUAUCCCUUGAGAGGCUCUUUCAAAGCAAAUGUUUCCUGGGUGUGAGAAAUUGGAAUCUAUUUGCAUACUACGGCUGAAGAAGAUUUCUGAUCACUUCAAUACUACUAUACAUGCCUGGAAUAAAUCAUACAAUUGGAAGCAUGGAAACAUUAAUCCUUCAGAUUAAAUGGUUUAGAAGUCUCCUACGAUCAACAACUACUGUUAAAAAAACAAGCUGGAAAGGGUAAGCUUUGUGUCUGUAGCCUGGGCUGCUGAAAUGGCUGUGAGACCUGAGGCUGUGAACCUUUCACUGGUGUGAGAGAAAAGGUCCAUUCACCUGAAAGAAAGGAAUCUGAUUCAGGGGAGAUGGGGCUGGGGGGGACAGUGAAUUGGUCAGGAAAAUGACUACUGUUAGGCCAGCACUCAACAGCAGGGGACCUGACAUAGGGGAGUGACACUGAACAGCAACAAUACCCUCAGUGAACUAAGGUCACAACCAUCAUUUACGAUUCUCUUUCGGUCAUCUCACCCGGCAUCUCACCGUUGAAAGAUCUAGAAAGUGCCUGCCGAGCCAGUUGACUGAAACAGGCCCAAGGCAGAGUUGCAAGGUAAUGCAUCCUUAGGUACCCAUCCGCAGAACGGCAUGCGCCAAAGGGGGGCGCUGUCACGUCCGGGCAGUAAAGCCUAAAUGUGUCGGAGCUCGUCCAGCGUGCAGCAGAGCACACAUCAGACACAGACAGGGACCCUAGAGUGCGCCUUGGCAGACAGAGGGGGCUGUAGCCCUUUGCUUGUAUAGGCCUCUACAGGCCAAUGAGACAGCCUCUGUUUGGAUGAAGUCCAACACCACAUCGGGUUGACAAUACAAACAAACAGCUGAUCACUUCUCUUACUCCACUUUAGGUCAUAUGUAAGGGAUAAUGUAUAGUCCGGCGGUCAUUAUCGAAAAAUGAAUCCCAAUGGGACGAACAGGAACAACAGUCUUGUUUCGUCCUGAAGGGAUUCAUUUUUUUUAUAAUGACCGUCGGACUAUACAUUAUCCCGCUUAUUAUACUGUUACUUGCCAGAUGAAUAGAAGACAUUCCUCCAAAAUACCUCUUUUUAAAGAUUUAGUUGCUGUUUCGUGAUUUCCGCUAAGAAAAAAUUGUUUCAGGUGUUGUGUAGCAACCCAUUACUUGCUGACUUCAAGUUAAAUAACUUUCCGUUACGUUAAAUGACCGCACUAUUUGAGGAAUGAAAUGAUGUGAAUUAGAAGCACAAAACCCGUUGGCUAUGACAGCGGUCAUUCAUUUUUGGCACCGGUGAAUAUAAAGAAAUAUCAGACCUGUGAACGUUGGGGUGGCCCAUUCAAAUCAACUGAACCUUUUGCAAGAUUCUGAGGAGCCGUAUAAUAAAGGGUCCUAAUGGCACUUUGAAUGGUAACAAUCAAAUUCUGAGGGUAAGCCUGCUGAGCGUAUGAUAAACCUUUCACAGGCUAGGCCCAUAAAGCUCAGAUUGGCGGGUGAAGAUGAAAAAUCUCCGCCCUCGGUGCAGCCUGCCAGAGUGCAGCAGCCCUGGUGAUUCACAUGGGCUAUCACUGUAGUGUGGUUCAUUCUCACUUGGACAUGAUGGCCCUGGAGAUGUGGACAAAAGUGUUUCAGACGCAGGAAUACAGCAAGGACUUUGAGGUAAUUGAUCCCGAGGUGAAAGGGGCCACACCCAAUCUACCCCUCUAGCAAACCACCCCAACCGGAUGCAGAUGCAUCCAUUGUCACUACUUUGCGUAUCGUAUGGCAACUCUUUCCAUCAGUGCUCCUGAUGUAGACAGAGUUCCCACUGUCUUAGCGCAUGCAAACAUUCCACCAUCACGCCCACUCUACAGUUUAAACGAGAAAAGGGGCUGAGGCGGAGAGUGGCUAUCCACCGUUGAAAAUCCCUAAUAAACAAUAAUCCCAGUGGCACUACGUUUAUGACAGUCCGACAUGUCCGCAGAUGCUGCGAGCAACACAGAGUCCACUUCCUGGAGAAACAGAGGCUGCUCUGUCUCAAGGGAGCAGUCGCUCAUGUCCCCGGCUAGCUCAGCAGAGGGAGUUAGCUGGUUAGCCCAAGCCUUGCUAGCCACGCCGUCAGCUUCCUCCUGGUCCGAGAGAGGCUGCUCCAACAUCGGGUCUGUGACGAAGCACUGGUCACUCCCCGUGCUAAGGUCGCCCACUGGCUAAGACGGCGCAUGCUAUCAGCAAGGUCAGCACCUGCUUAACACGUGGGGAGCCGGGGCAGACUGGUCACAUGGGGUCUGUGUCGCUGGCAGCGAUGCCAACGCUGCAGCCACUGGGGGAGGGGUGCGGAGGGACCUUAACCUUCUUAGCGGGCGUUUUCUGUCAAGCCUGCAUCACCGGUAAGCGUGGAUCAAGGAAAUAGAAACAGAGGAACAGAGGCUGGUAAGCUGGAGAAGUAGGCAAUAACUGGUUAGCUGGUAUAGUAGGUCGCUAGAAAAAGGGCUGGCAAGCAUAGGAUGGUAAGCAUCACACUGUCUAUGAAGCAAAUUGGACACCUGGUGAAAGAGUGGUAGCUUAUUCCUUAGACAGUUAAGUCAAAGCUUCCAAGAAUAUGCAACGCCAACCUAUAGGGCUUUUGAAGGGCACGGCGAAUGAAGAGGUGAAGAAUGAGAGAUUGGGUCUGUGCAGUAGGUUUUGGAAGGAGGAGGCUCAUUGCAUUGACCAAUUAGCCCAGGCCUAGCAAACAGUGUGGCCCAGAGUGAGAUGUCGAGCGUGUCGACCGAAAGAUAACUCAGUGUACCCUGAAAAGAUAAAGUAAUGCAAGGACUAUGGGGAGAGCCUUAGUUCAUACUUAUGUGUAGUUUGCAGGGAAUAGGAGGUCUGUGAAUAUUUUCCCAUCCUGGGACAAGGAUGUUGGCUGUUAGGUAGUUAGAUCAGUAGGCAGAAACCCCUUCCUACCACUUCAAUAUGGAACUUGAGUUUUACAGCCUACUACUGACACCUUCCAGGAUUAGAUUCAUGUAUAUUUACCAGAUCACUGUUUGGUCUAGAAUCUUGCUAAUUGUACGCUUAAUGCAAACAAAACCUACAAUGGCAGAACUGGUGAAAUUUGCUCUACUUACAAUGGAGGGCAAAACAAUAUCCAUUAUACCACAGUAGAACUCAAACUCAGUGUGUUACAAUGGAGAGUUCUAAUCCAUGUGAUUAUGAAGUCUGAUAAGAACAUACCAUAUAAGAAAUUAGAAAUUAGAAAUGUGUAGUUUGUCGUCACACUGCUAACCCACUUUAGAUAUGUAACCUUCAACUGUAACAAUCAUUAUAUACAACAUAUUUCAGCCUUCUUGUCUAUUUGACUGUCUGGUCAAAGAUUCUGUUACGUCCUUAUUAAUUUAGUUUUAAAGCAGCAUAACGAGAUGCUAGCGGCUAAAACUAGCAAAACCUCUUGAAAUGUGCUUACUUAGACACUAUGACAAACUAGUUAGUCAACAACUGUCCUAACACAGUCAAACAUCAAGCAAGUGCAACACAAGACAAAGCAAGACGGCAAAUAAGCUGCAUACUAGUUCGGCAGACAGUAGAAACCGGGCGGCUUGAGGGCAAACCUACAUUACGCAGUAAUAUGCCUACGGACCCUGGUAUGGCAAUGGCAAGGCAAAACCUUGCACACACCAACAGUUGCACAGUUAGGGGUCACAUUCCUAUCUUCCCAGGGUCCUAUUUUCCCUAGUUGUACAUAAGUGCUCUCCCAGGGUCCUAUGUUCCCUAGCUCUUUAUAGCACAUAAUAGGAACCUGAAAAUGAUGUUCCCCAGCUCUGUAUUCGCUUAUGACAAUAUGACAAGGGGCUGUUGUUGUGUUUUGAAGCCUUGUUCCAAUAAAAACUGGAUAAUAUUUAUAAAAUAUUUGAACUUGAAAUGGGUCAAAUUUCCCCCGAUCGCAAUGGGAAGGUUAAUGUGUAAUACAAAUUUUUUUUUAAUUAACUAAUUAAUGUCACAUUUCGAAAUUCAUUAAUCUAGAUUAAUCGCGAUUAAAAGUUUGUUUUUCUUCUAAAGACUACAUCUUAUAAAUGAUCGAGUAAUCACUUCAGACAGCGUGUAUUUUAGACACUGUUGUUUAAUUAUUUUUUUUUAAACACAAAACUACACAGAGCAAUUUGAAUAACCUCAGUCAGCCCACCGUCCUCAACUAUGUUGAUGGGCCCGACAGUCACCGGCAACCCAAACUGCUAAAGCGUUGGUAACCUUUUCAUGGACUGGUCUAGUUAUUUUCCUAGAGAAGUCGUGGAGUGUGGGUUGGCGACCAUGUAACCUGGGACUGCUUUCUGUCGGGUUCUUUGCAUUAAGGUGAUAACUUAAAGACGAGCUGCUUCUGUGAUAGCUAAGUUCAUCUUGACAAAUGCUACAUACAACUUUAGUUUUGUCGAUUGUUCUGUUAUUUUGCCUCUUAAACAGAAACUUCCCGCCCAACAAUCCUUCAGCUCUCUCCAUCUUCAACUACAGUCUCGGUCUCUCCUAUCUAACUGACUGCAGGCAUGUUUCGUGUCAGGGGUCAACGCACACCGGAAGUAAACAAAGUUGUGUUAACUGCGUUAAAAUAUAUUAUCGCAUUAAUCUCGGCCACAAUAAUCUCAUAGAUUAACGCGUUAACUUUGACAGCCCUAGUAAUACCAGAAUAUUGAACCGGGGAACUUAGGACAUUGGGAACAUUUAGGACUCUGAUGACAUUUAUAGUACCCUGGGAUAUGUUAGCUAUGGUACUGAUAAGAGGAUUUUAACAUGCUAACUAGUGUUUUUUGGCGAUAUAGCGGUUCCAUGGCAAUGUUCCGAAGGCCCAUUAUUCCGACAGCCCGCUGUUCCGAAAUUGUGAGCACAGUAACGUGAACCACUAUAGCCGACAUGCACAUCCCAAUGAAUCACACAAUCAUAAACAUAUAAAUGCAUUUAUUUCACAAGCAUGAACUUUAAUUCAUAAUACUAUUAUACACACAUGGCAUUUGCAUCGCAAAAAUACUUUUAUGAUUGCCAACGCAUGCAUGCUUUGUCAGUGCUUGACAAGAUCUGCAUAAUGUCCUGCGACAAUCUGCCGGUGAUUUCCUUUGCAUGAGUGGUAGCCUACCCUAUAUUCAAAACCAGAGUAGGCUAAGUUAACAAAUAUUGCCUAGGAAAAGUUAUAGGCUAUGCGUGAUAGCCCGGUGAGCGUCUCCGCUGCGCAAACUAAAUGCUAUCUGUGUUUUGUGCCACUUAAAAUAUUUCGGAAUAUUGACUAUUUUUCGGAAUAUUGAGAUUUCGGAAUAUCAGGCUUUCGGAACACUGGGCCGUCCCCGAUAUAGCAUAGUAGUGCUGUAAAAUCUUUUCUUGAAUUCUCAUUCUCUGGCCCGCCGAACUACAUAGUGUAGCCUGGAUGGCUAGUGGUAACGACAGGAGUGUUUAUAUGUCCUUCACAUGACCAAAUACUUUCAUAAUGAAUUUGAAGAUGAUGCCAAAGCUAACAUACCUCAAAAUGUGGUAAAUACUUGCACACUGUAAUUUUGUAUUCCUGCAUAAGAGAAGCUAACCUGAAGAAUCAGAAUCCCUGCCCAGUGGGAACCAAUGUUGCAUGGGCACUACAGAAGGAGGGAUGGGCAUGGUGAUUUUGUUAUGUUGAGGCCCAGGCUAAAACAUGGUCCAUGUUUUGUUAUGUUGAGGCCCAGGCUAAAAGAUGGUCCACGUUUUGCAUGUCCUAUGCCCUGUAUAAACCCCCAUUUCCCUAUCAUGUAGCAGUGUAAUGUGCUGUCAGCUUUUCAAAGGGCGUUCAAGCAAAUAAUGUGUGUGGCCUUAUGAAAGGAUCCUCAUAAAACAAUAAACUGUUACCAGGACUACAGGAUAAUGUUCCCUUGAACUUGCUAAGCUAUGCUUUGAGAAAUACUGGCAUAAUUAGGGCUGAUCUGACACAGUUCAUUCCAAUAAAAGGCUUCACCUUACAUAUAGUGUAGUUAGGCAUUACAUUAAAAGUAAGCACAGAUUUUCCUUUGACUCUUUUUUUAUUUCAUUUGGGGAGAUCAAUGACAUUUUUUUUUUUUGAAGUAUCCAAUUAGAUUUUUUGAUUUGAAGAACAGUUUGAAGAAAUGUGUCCUUGGGGCCUUGCUGCAUACCUGAUGUGCGCCUGAUAGGCUCAUCACCACCUGCUGGGCCAAACUCUCCUGUGCUUGACAAGAACAAAGGUACGUAUAACUAGCCAUUGACACCUUUACAUGCACCACCUCCAUCCAUACUUAUGAGGAUACAUCUCAGAGGUAUAUAGGACUAAUUGAGAAUCUAACUGAGAUUGAGAGCAGUUAUAGCUCAGAUAUACUACUGUAUUUUACUUUUGGCUUGACUUGUUUGUUAUACUUGACCUUUGUUGCUGUAUGUUAUCAUGUAAGGCUAAUAUUUUCUCGUUGGUCCAAGACCACUGACUUCCCAUUAAACAAAGACAAACAUCACAAAGAUUUUAUCAGUGUUAUGCAAAGCAUAAGUGCUGAUAUAAAGAGCAUGUCAGAACAGACCAUACAUGAUCAAAACUAACAACAAAGCCUUUGCAUAUUUAAAGUGAAGGAAAGACCCAAAAAGUCCACACUACCAAAAGAUAUCGCACCAUAACUAUUCCAGUAUGGCUGAGCAUUUUGUUUUGUCUGAGCAUUUUGCCAACCAUUUCUGCUUUAGUGCACCCCGUAUGUUCAAUAAACCUUUUGGUUUUAAAAGCCAUACUUACACCAUUUAUGAUUAUAGAAGUUCACUGAUUAUGAUGCUAGUCGAAUUUUCCCUAAAGCUAACACUAAUAAUAGAUAAGAGUACUAGGUGGUUAGUAAGAAUGCACUGAGUUUGUUUAAAACUGUUCCCGUGUGCUGUGUAAAACUUGCACUGGUCUUUCCUGAAGGCAAUACAGUGAUUUAGUGUGUGUGGUGGGUAUGUGAUUACAGUAUGUUUAAUUUCGCCUUUGGGGUUUAGCCUCGUUGCUUUUCUUCUGUAAACAGAUUAAAUGCUGCUAUGUGAUUACGUUUACUUUUAGGUGGGCAUGUGGUGUUCUAAAAGUUGAUUUAUCAUCACUGUCUACACCAGUCUUAGCUCAAGCCUUCACAUUCACUCAGGAUCUCAGCUGCAAUAAAUUAUGGAAAUCUCAUGUCAAGUGAUAUCAAGUCUUCCAGUGAAUCUGCUAUGCCAAACGCAUUGCAAGCAGUCGAAGCUACGUGGCUCUCAUGCAACAUGCCCUUAUGAAUGCCUUCUUCCAUGUUAAGCCAUCAUGUUUCAGGGAGGCAGGUGCUAAGUGACGUAAGUGAACACUAUGCUAUUUCUGCCUUAGGCAAAGUGGAAACAUACUCUAUCUUUCAGCUGGCUGUCACUGGUCAACUGUAAGAACAUACUGUACUACCAUGUGAAGAUGGGAUCAGGAGGACAGUGCCAGAAAAGCCUGGGAGAGAGAGUCAUGGAUAUGUUGAGACCAAGGGUGUAACGAUAGACACAUUUCACGAUUUGGUACGGUUCGGUACAGUAGCCUCUUGAUUCGAUACUUUUUCGAUGUAACAAAGUUACAGUUGAGGCUACUAAAUUACGCAAAUUUGUAUUAUACAGCCUUUACACUUAGGGUACAGUCCACAUAAAUAAGCAUCUAUUUAGGAUGAGACCAGGGGUGCAAAACAACCUUUUUGGUUUACCGGCCAUUUGAAAAUUUGAAAAUGUUUACCAAUAAUUUUUUAAAUUUUGUAAUAUGUUAAUAGUAAAUAUUACAUACAUCAGUAUACAGAAAGUCUAUCAAAGUCUAUCAAAAUGUGUAUGGGAACAUAUUUUACUCUUGGAAACAUAAUUUACAGAUAUCACUUUAAGAAGCUUUUGAAGACCCAACUCUUCAGAGAGCACCUCCCCUCCUAACUGGCACUUCAACUAGUGCUUAACUUGCACUUACAGCAGUUACAUUCCUGCACUUCUUUUAUUCUUUUCUAUUUUUGUCUUUCUAUUUCUUAUGUAAAGUAGUAUGUAUUGCUACACUAGGUCUAUUGCUCGUAGCUUGACUGUUCUCUCCCUUGUACGUCGCUUUGAACAAAAGCGACUGCUAAAUGACUAAAUGUAAAUGUAAAUGUAAAUUACUGUUAUGCAGAGAACAGGUAGGGCAGUUGAUAAAGAAACAUUAGCAGCCCCAAGGUCCUGAGUCCAAUACCUGAGCCAUAAUGCUGAAGUCUAGGCCAUAUGUUUCUUGUACUUCCCCUUUGUUAAAUAAAAUAGACUGCUACAUUCAUGAACGCCAAAGUGAGCACAACAGCGAUUUUGGGAUACAAAUUCCCCUGUAAAUGCCCCAGCACAUGGCCAGCUUCAUCCCUUAUUUAUAAGCUCAUUCAAAGACAUGGUAUUCAAAAACACCUGUACUUCUCCACAACCAGAUAUACAGCUUAAGAUGCAUUGUGCAUCCAUUUAUAUUGUCAAACGUUUGAGUGCUUUGCUGCUAACACGUUUGCCCAUCAUGGGUCAUGGAUCAAAGCAGAGAAAUUAUAUUAAUGAUUUUAUUAACUUAAAGGUUAAUUUUAGGAUUUUUCCUCCUUCUUCAAUUUCAAUUCAAAUCAAUUGCAUUUGUUUAUUUAGUGCCAUUAAAACUUGACUUUGUCCCAAGGAACUUUAUAGAGGCCUGAACCCCCUAGAGCAGGCUUGUCACAGUAAAAGGUUGUAUUUUUUUCACAGUGCAAUGGUGGGAUACACAGUACUAUGCAGGAUAUCACAUCUACAGUAAGAUACUGUUUCAAUGUACAAAUCACAGUAAAAAGAAAAAGUGCAGAUUUCACACAAAUAGCAAAUAUUAGACCUUAUGACCAGCUAUAAGACCAAAGAAUCUAAAAUUCAGGCAGAUGGCGAGAAGACCCUGCUAUGAACGAACGAAUGAAUAAUAGAUUAGUAGUUGCACAUCAAACUGGUACUAGUAGCUGCAGAUGUUUGACCCGUGUGUGGAGUUGUUUUAUUGGAUUGGGGCCGUACACUCGACUGGCCCCCACCCAGGAGGUGUCUCAUCAAGCUGACUUGCCUCCAAAUUCAUUUUUAAUUGCCACUUUAGCCAGAGGCCCACAGUCAAGACUACACCCAGAAGUGCGGGGAGACUGCGAAUGCCUUUUGGACUGCAUCACAUCAGCCCUCCACAACCCCUUUUCUGUUGAAAAGCUCAGAUUUUUUGCCUGUUCCUCUUUUUCCCCUUCUUUGUCUAGCCAAUCUCUCUCUGUGUGUGUGUGUGUGUGUGUGUGUGUGCACGCGCGCUAUGGGGCAGCAGCUGGUCUGUGUGUGUGCAACAGUCUAAUAAUCAGUGGAAGACUAAGGAGUACUGCUGGGAAAUGGGAUUUAAAGUGGCAUGAGAGCCGUUGGCUUUUAUUUGUGGGUAUCACACAGGCGCAGACAGGACUCAUCUAUCUUCUGUACUCCAACAUUUCCCCACUUUGCCAGUCCUACCCAGGCUAUCCUCAGACCCAUUCACACAGAGCCCCAAACAGUGUGUGUGUGUGUGGGGGGGAGAGACACAGAAGAAGCUGUGAAAGGCUUCAGCAGAGUGCCGCUACUCAGCAUGGCUGCUGCGACGGUGUUCAACACAAAAUGGUGACCAGGGAAGGGCCAGAAAAGGGCGGGGGGUUCCAGUAUCCACACAACAGAGAAUGACUGAGGCACUGAUUCCCACUCUUUGCCCUCAAAUCACCACAUAUCCUUGUAUCACCUUUUUUCUUUCUCUUUCAUCCUUCUUUUUCUCUUUCAAUUCCCCUCUGACAUUUGUUUUUAACAGGCAGAAGUUGCUGGUAAGAUAAUGAAUGUGCACAUGCUCAAACACUUCUCUGUUCCAUCGCACACUGAAGAAAAAAUAAUUGGUUAUCUCACAGCUGGCUCAAGAGGGCUGCAGAGGUGUCAGACUGGGCUGCCGGUGGUUAGUCUGCCUCUUUCCCCAACUCAGUCUGAGUUCACUUGGUAACACUGAGCCAGCCAACCAGCCCUUAAUCUCUUAAACACUCGUAAACACCAUCUCCCGAGGUUACCACAGGGCAAAUGCACAGGCUUAGCAUCUCAAUCAGCCUUGCCGGAUACUAGAUGCUGAAUCUGUUUGGUGUAGUCGGUGUUGUGAACUUGUUCAGGUUCUUUUUCACAUUUUGGCCUUUGUUCAAUUGGGACUGAGAUUUAUGGGCUGAAGCAUAAAAAUCACAGAUUCUCUAUAAAAAUAAAGAAAGUAAUAAAACAACAGUUGCAGAGCCCGUAUACCGCUAAUACUUGUAAUGAAACACUGGGACGACCCAGAUUUUUUAAGCAUACUAGUCAGCCUUCAUUUAUAACUUCUAGUAAGCAGGCACAAGCUUUUCAUCAAUGCAAUUCUUCCUCUCAGGAACCCAAACUUGAAGCAGUUUUUUCAAUGCACACCACAUAAUUAAAUAUCAUAUUUACAGUAACUCAUUUUGCUGACACUUUUACCUGAGCAUUACUAACUGCCAUCAGCCAUCAGCAUCUUUGAGUCCUUCCCAAGCCAAAACCAUAUUCUGCCAAUCCAAGUCAAUGUUCACCCGAGGGAACACAAACAUUGGUAAUUGUUUAUUUCACACAACAAAUUCCCACACUGUACAGGCUAUUUGUGCAGGUGGCUCUUUCUCAGUCAACUCGCUACUUUAAAUGGAGUGUGACUGAGCUCAGGACAUCAAACACAAAUCACUUCAGGCUUCUGUAAUUACACACACAGGUACAACUGGGACAGACUGAGGGAAGACGGCUGCGGCACAUCUGAAUAACACUGGAUGAAACACUCCUGCGGUGUUCAACAGUUUACACCCCUGAAGCUCGUCUGCAGCCUCGCCGCCAAUCACCUGAGAACAAUAGGCUGUGCUAUUACUAUUUCGGUACAUUGUCCAGCUAUUUCACUUUGUCACCUCUAAGAAUGUGCUUUAUGACCAAGAUGACCUGCCUCAGAAUACGCUCGUUGUAACGUACUGUGGAGUUAAAUCAGUGAAUACGCCCGUUGUAACGUACUGUGAUUUUAAAUCAGUGAAUACGCCCGUUGUAACGUACUGCGUAGUUAAAUCAGUGAAUACGCCCGUUGUAACGUACUGCGUAGUUAAAUCAGUGAAUACGCCCGUUGUAACGUACUGUGUAGUUAAAUCGGUGAAAUCAAAGGUGUUGGUUCAAAGAUGGAGGUCAGACAGAAGUAGCUUUUGAAGCUUUGGAAUCAACAGUUAACAGAUUCCCACUGGCUUACAGAGGCGGGUCCGUAGAUCUGGCAUAAAAAUGUAACAUUAUUCUGACUUUUCUAUUCACUACAAGCCAUUCAACUGGAAAGAAGACACAUUGUCAUCAACAGCAUUUGUGUCCGUGUAGAGCCUACUGGAACUUUAACUGCCUUCCAAUCUUAUUCAGUAUAAUAUGGGUUAAAGCUCAAACUGCAGUUGCAUUGGUGUUUAAAGCUGCAAGCUCAAGUGUCCAGACAUUCAUCCAAUGUGGCCAAUUCCAACCUGCAGAACAGCUUUAAUCUGAAUACUAAUGUCUAAGAAUGCAGUUAGUCAAAACUGCACACAGGAAGAAAGAAAGUCUGUGUCUGACGCAACAAGUCUAAUUUAGAAUAGGUCAGCGUCAACAAUACAAAAUACACAACCGUCAUUAAAAUCCCAAUUAACAUUUUAAAAUCCUGAAUACAUAAAAAAACAAAACCAGUCAAGCUGAAUAAUUAGCUCAGCCAUGACUAUUCCACUGCCAACUGCUCUCUCUCUCUCGCUCUCUCCCUCUCUCUCUCUCUCUCUCUCUGUUGAUCUUGCAGCUAUGAUAAGGACAAGGCCAAACAGCCACUCAUAAUUGCCUAAGGACUGCAUUGGGCCUGUCAAGGCUGCAGCUCCUCAUACUAACAGGAAAGACGUCUCCCAGAAACACAUCAUUUUUUGACUUGGUUGGCUACAUGUUAUUUAUUACCACUGCAGCAUUGAAAAUGUGUGGGAGUUUGCAAACUCAGCCAGUGUGAGUACAGACAAAGCUGUGGCAUUGUCUGUCAGUAGUUGUAAAGACCACUGCAUUGAUUUAAUUACAUGCUUUCCUCUAUCACCCUUCAUUUAUAAUGGACUACGUGCAUUUCUUUAGAGAAUUCCAGCAUCACGAUCAUAAUAAUGUUGGGCACCUGUAAAAGAUCAGCAAACAAGUAGGCUACACAAUAAAAUGGCACGUCCGGCCCUGGUGGAUUCUAAUCUGCUGUGUGGCAAACAUAAAUAAGCCUCUACAAGCAGGGAUCCCAUUUGCCCAUACUGUGUUCAUGAAAGACCAAAUACCAUUUAUGUAUGGCUUGUUCUGUGUGUGUGUGUGUGUGUGCGAGCCAAGGCAAGGCUAUUUAAAGCUGUGUUUAUGCACAGGCAUGCAGGUCGCAAGUAACUGGCAGUAGCACACUCUGUAUGAAGCUCAUAGCAAGUUUUUAAAAAGCAAGGUCAGCUCCACAGAACAGUGGUUCAUGUGUAGCCUGUCUUUGUGUGGUGAAUAGUUUUGGACUUUGCAUGGUGGGAUUGGGUUGGCUAUUCUCAGUUACACAUUCUGUAAUAUAUAUAUAUAUAAAAAUAAAAAAAAUGCACUUAUUAUUGUGAACCACUGGCUGUAUAUGUGUUUGGUUCCAUUGUCUGGAUGUUUCCAACCUGUAUGUCUAAAACCAGGAUAAAUGUGCUGUUCUGUGGUGUGUGACUGAAGAAUGACUUGACUUCCCCCUGUAGCGUUUCUGGCAACUGAGUUUCCUCGGAAGGCCCGUCAUUUUAUUCAAUGCUGCUUCAACAGUCGUUUCAUAUUGAGAAAUGUGCCAAAAAAAAAUGAAACCUACCUCUAAACCUAACUCUAGCCACAUUAUGAUUAGUGUGGCUAGAGUUCUGCCUCAGAAUGUUGGUCUAGAUGAAUGGUCACAGGUCACACUGCACAACAAUGGCCACUUAUUUGUGCUGCGCAUGAUUGCAGUCUGAAGAACAGCUGGCAGGCUAAAACAACAGUGUGUGGCAGAUCAUUACGAGAUGUUUGUAGGAGGGAGGGCGCUGACGGCAGCACAACAGUCACACCUCACAAGUGAACCAAUUUACCUCAGAGAAUAACACCCCCACACACCCCACACACAUCCUCUGCUUUUAGAGGGCUUUGUGGUAUGACAGUGAGCACGGGAGGUUUUGGGGGAAGAGAGGUUCUCAUAGCCAUCGUGUCAUUGUCUACCUGUAGCGUGCCUAUCAUCUAUCAUCUGAAGCCAGUGUUCACUUUUGGAGGGACUGAUCACAGGAAACAAAUACAUUUCACAAGGAAAGGAAAAGAGGACGGCGCUGGUAGAAAAAUCAACACACACAGAAAGUGCUGGUUUUAAAUACAAAUUGAUGCAAUGAUCAAUAGUGGGGUUGCUGGAUAAGUCCCUGCAGCUGUGAACAUCAUACUGAGCUCAAUUGACUGAGUCAAAAUACUGUUGAGGUUUUAAUGGUCCUGACUGCCAACAAAAACAGAGGCACGCACGCUGAUGUCAUAACAGAUCUUACAACGACGAUCGCACGCUUACACACACAUACACACACACACACACACACACGUGAUGAUAAUGACGGGUCAGGUUAGACUUAUGUGUGCUAGAGGAACAGUGUAAUGGUGAACAGCUGGUCAGCUCCACACAGACCCAAACUCAGGUCUCACUGGAGCUGAAGGAGGCCCUGUUCCAUCUGCCUACGACAGGAGACAUUCGGCUUAAAUCAGCGCACCCUCUAAGUGUGUGUGUGUGUGUGUGUGUGUGUGUGUGUGUGUGUGAGUGUGUGUGUGUGUGUGUGUGUGUGUGUGCGUGUGCAAUCCAUCCACACACAGGAACACACACCUCACCUCCAGUUCUCACCAGAGCGCACAGGCAUGUGUCAGAAAAGGAUCUGCUGCCAUGACAGUGGUUUGUGGUCAAGUGUCAGAUGGAAUGAGCAUUGGUCGGAGCGUGUAAUUGACUCAGAACAAUGUCAGUGGGAGAAUUAAAGAGGCUACCCAAGACAGCCUUCCCAAUGGAGCCUUCUCCAAAAAGGGCCAACAAAAAUGAGUCAGGUUAGUUUUCAACAGCUCACAUUUUUCCAGCAGUAAUACUGCUGAAGACCAAUAUGUUAAGGCCAAUGAGUUUGACCCUUUUAAGCAACACACUGCCUGCAGAUGUCACAAAGUGGAAAGCUACGGAACGGCUUUGCUUGUGUCCAUCCUACAACAAAUGCUAUGACUAUUGGUAUGGUAUGAGCUCUGGUACUAUGACUAUGACUGCCACUAGAUCUGAUGGUUUCACUCACGGUCAUCAUUAUGAAAAGGAGCCAAUUAUGUACAGUAGCUCGCCCAAUUAAAAUCCAAGUAAGUGUGGUGUUUGGUUAUGCAGGGCCUGCUGCUGUGCCCUGUGGCGUAGCGCUCAAGUCACAUGGCACCACAACCUGGGACAUCCCUCCAGGGAUGGAGUGUGGAAUGUUGCUGCGUGUUCCAACAGGCUUCCAUUUUUCCCAACUGUAUGGUGAGCUACAAGAAUGACAACAUGCCAUUACUGUCUUGAAAUGCUGCUUACCAGUCCAGGUGACAGUUGCAGGAGAGUUUUUGAAAGAGGGGUACCAAUUGAAACAGCUGUGCCUGCAUGUUUAUAAGGGACGUGCUGUACUAUGCUAUCACAACCAAUAACAAGCCCGUCCCCUGAGAGUUAGGAGCUGUUCCAUGAGAGACUGAAAUCACUGUUGAUAGGAUUUUCAACUACAAGCCAGAGAAAUAGGGUGUAAACUCUUUAUUCGUCUUAUUUCAAUUAAGGAAGAUAUAAAAACAAAUGUGAGGUGAGACAUGGUUAUUCAACAUUUCAGUACCAAAAGGUAACGUGCCAGCAUCGCAAUGUUUGUGUAAACAAAGACUAAGCUGAAAAUGUAACUGAAAAUCUCAGAGCAGGACUAGCGUAGAUCCACUUAAGUCAAUUAGGCCAACAUCUCCAGUCACAGGCAGACGUACAUUCUUGCCUGCAGCCCAUCCCCCUGCGCAGAUUUCCCGGGUAAAUUUACCAUAAACAUGUCAUUUUUGCUCAGCCAAAAACUGUAUCCUGGUAGCAUUACAACACAUAUACAGAAACAAUGGUUUCCAAUACAUUAUCAUCAGUUCUAGAAUUAGUGUUUUGCCAUGGCAACAAAGUCAACAACUAGGCUGUAAAAAAAAAAUCAGAAUAUGGUCGCUGUCUAUUUUAUUUACAUAAUUCUUGCGACAACAUGCCUGGAAAUUGCUGUUAAUGUGAUUCGCUUUUUAACGUUAUUCAAUCGCUUUGGAUGAUACAAUUAUGCUACUUGAAAAUAAACCCAUUUAGAAAAUCCACUGCUAAAAAGGCUUAGUUCCACGUAUGCUUCGGCACAACGUUAUAUAAUUAGCUCGCUAGCAGAAGCUACCCGACACUGUACAAUGCGGCUCUACCAGCCAGACAAGGCAAUGCAUAGACUUUCUAUUAUUGCACGUCUUCCACUAACGUUAGCUAAACAAACGUCUCAUCCCUAUGAUUUGAUGACAAGACAGAGAACACAAAGAAAUAACUGCUGCCUGGCGCUGUCCCCACAGAAUGUUAAAGUCAGACGUGUUGCGAGAGUGGCCCGACGAGAAAUUCUCGCAUAUACAGAUAAUGUAACGGGGGAAAAGAAAGCAUUCGCUUCUUCAAGCCUCCGUGUACCCAUCCCCCACCAGUUCUCUUUGCCUGUCCUCCAUCUUUAAUCUGCACCCCAUCAAGCUUUCCACAGUACCAAAAAUGCCCCAAACCGAAAAAAACUUACCUUUGUCGGUCAUUGUUGUAUUGAUAAUCGACUUUGGAGUUAAAAUUGCAAAAUAUUUUUUUUAGUUUAAAGAUUUUUUAAUUGAAAUUUGGACCGAGAAUAGGACCGCGCCUUUCAGAAGAGCAGCAAUCCUAAGCCGCCAUCUGGUGGCAUUUUCCUCAAUCGAAUGGCGGAUGGCGCAUUUACAGACCGGGACCAGAGUGCC
ensembl:lncRNA